AAGAAAACAAUCUCUUCAUCUUAAUAUAAUCGUAUUAAGCUUAUAAUAUCCUUUCAUUUCAAGAGUGUGAAGAUGUUUCAUAAGAAGACUCCGGCUGAAUCAGCUAAGAGCACAGCUCACAAAGUUGUGGAACAAGUUGCCAAUGCAGCUCACACUGUAUCCAAUGCUUCCCACCAGAAAAACAAAGGUCACCAGACUCACCACCAUCAACAGACUGGAACAACGACAGUGAAAGAUGCAGUGAAGACUGUGAAGAAAGCAGUGGGAAUGAAGUGAUUGCUAAUCUAAACAAUCCAUCCAUUUCCACCUACCAAUAAGAAAGCAAAAAUACAUUGUUGUACUUUUCUCUCGGUAUAUCUUUCCUUCAUCUCUCUAUGAAUUUGUGUUAAGUUUGCCAAGUAUUUCAUUUUGAUUGUAUAUCUUAUGUUAUUGUAAUAUAAAUGAAGAAUGUUUAAUUAGAUCA